rnacentral:tRNA from 1 species
GCCUGAGUGGCUCAGUGGAUUGAGCGUCUGACUUCAGCUCAGAGCAUGAUCUCAUAAUCCAUGAGUUCAAGCCCCACAUCUGGCU